rnacentral:rRNA from 1 species
UACGUAGGUGGCAAGCGUUAUCCGGAAUUAUUGGGCGUAAAGCGCGCGCAGGCGGUUUCUUAAGUCUGAUGUGAAAGCCCACGGCUCAACCGUGGAGGGUCAUUGGAAACUGGGGAACUUGAGUGCAGAAGAGAAAAGCGGAAUUCCACGUGUAGCGGUGAAAUGCGUAGAGAUGUGGAGGAACACCAGUGGCGAAGGCGGCUUUUUGGCCUGUUCUUGACGCUGAGGCGCGAAAGCUAGGGGAGCAAACGGG